CACCAUCUGAGGAUAAGAACUUCAGCACUACAACAGGCUCCUGACCCACAAGUACUAAGUUUUUCAGCGUGGCUGCAAGAAAUGAACAAGCAAUGCACAGAUUGGAGCCCCCGGGAGCAAGUUGUCCUUUCUGUAGGAGAGAUGGUGGAGAGGAGAAGGCAUGGGCUUCUGGUGGAGAUCAGGUUUGCUACUCUCCUAGUCACAGUGAUGAUUCACGUUCAGAAGACAAGAACUUGGACAUUAAAGUGACUUUUUCACAGCAGAUCUGUGCAUGGGGAGCACUCAGCCUAUUUAUAGGAAUAAUUCAUCAGACGUGGACUCUUGUCUGCAGACAUGGAGAAAGUUUAAGUUUUCUGUGAGCUCUGCAACAAAUUUAAAUCGGGUUUUCAGUCCUUCAAGGGAGCCAAUCCCCGCUUGUCCCUGUGCCAUAGCACCUAUAGCAAUGGGAAUGGAAAUCAACUGGACUAUAAAGGACUAUGGUAAAAUAAAUAAUAAAUAAAA